GCUGGAUGUCUUUGAAGGA
rnacentral:miRNA from 1 species